GUGUGGCUCAGUGGUAGAGCGCUUGCCUAGUACAGGACGCAUGAGGCCCUGAGUUCCAUCCUCAGCAC
rnacentral:tRNA from 1 species